UACGUAGGGACCAAGCGUUGUCCGGAAUCAUUGGGCGUAAAGAGCGUGUAGGCGGCUUGUUAAGUCUUGCGUGAAAUCUCGGGGCUCAACCCCGAGCGGUCGUGAGAAACUGGCAGGCUAGAGUGCGGGAGAGGAGAUUGGAAUUUACGGUGUAGCAGUGAAAUGCGUAGAUAUCGUAAGGAAGACCAGUGGCGAAGGCGGAUCUCUGGACAGCUACUGACACUGAGGCACGAAGGCCAGGGGAGCAAACGGG
rnacentral:rRNA from 1 species